rnacentral:rRNA from 1 species
AAUGAACGUUGGCGGCGUGGAUUAGGCAUGCAAGUCGAGCGAGAAGGGUUUGGUAGCUUGCUAUUGGACCUGGAAAGCGGCGAAAGGGAGAGUAACGCGUAGUUACGUGCCCCAGGGUUCGGAAUAGCCACGGGAAACUGUGGGUAAUGCCGAAUAACAUCUAAGGAUCAAAGGUGUGAUUCCGCCCUGGGAGCGGACUGCGUCCUACUAGCUAGUUGGCGGGGUAACGGCCCACCAAGGCGACGAUGGGUAGCGGGUGUGAGAGCAUGACCCGUCUCACUGGGACUGAGACACUGCCCAGACACCUACGGGUGGCUGCAGACGAGAAUCUUCGGCAAUGAGCGCAAGCUUGACCGAGCGACGCCGCGUGCGGGAUGAAGGCCCUCGGGUUGUAAACCGCUGUCGUGAGAAGGGAAGUCGUCCGGGGUUCUCCCCGGUCGUUGACCUGUCUUAGGAGGAAGUCCGGGCUAAGUUCGUGCCAGCAGCCGCCGCAGUAA